rnacentral:lncRNA from 1 species
GUGUGAGUUUAUGCUUGAAACAUUGAGGACAAUGUUUGAUUUAAGUGUGAGGGGGGUAACCAUUGUUUUGCAUGAAAUUCGUAGGAGUUUAUCACCAAUUACUUCUAGUGUUGUUCCUUGCUAAGUGUUUUUAAGCUGUUUUGGAGUGUUUUAGUGUGUUUUGACAUAAAAAUCCGAAAAUCUCAUAAAAAUUUAAAAAAUUGUUUUGAAAAAAAAAACCAAAAAGAGUUGUUUUUGUGUGUUUAUUUGUGUCUUAGGGUACCUUUCAACACAAUGAUGAGGAUUUGGUUUUUUAUUACAUGACUGUUAAAGAGAGUUAUAAACAUGGAUGAAAAUUUGAUU